CUUUAUCAUUUCAAUUCAGCUCAAGUCCAGUUGCCUUGAUUUAUUGUUUACAGAUAUACCAUGACCUGAAUGAACGAGCACUUCACAGACAUCUGUGAAGGAAGCCCGUAAAAUAA